rnacentral:rRNA from 1 species
CCUACGGGUGGCUGCAGUGGGGAAUAUUGGACAAUGGGGGCAACCCUGAUCCAGCCAUGCCGCGUGUGUGAAGAAGGCCCUCGGGUUGUAAAGCACUUUCAGUGAGGAAGAACGCCUGGUGGUUAAUACCCAUCAGGAAAGACAUCACUCACAGAAGAAGCACCGGCUAACUCCGUGCCAGCAGCCGCGGUAAUACGGAGGGUGCGAGCGUUAAUCGGAAUUACUGGGCGUAAAGCGCGCGUAGGUGGCUUGAUAAGCCGGUUGUGAAAGCCCCGGGCUCAACCUGGGAACGGCAUCCGGAACUGUCAAGCUAGAGUGCAGGAGAGGAAGGUAGAAUUCCCGGUGUAGCGGUGAAAUGCGCAGAGAUCGGGAGGAAUACCAGUGGCGAAGGCGGCCUUCUGGACUGACACUGACACUGAGGUGCGAAAGCGUGGGUAGCAAACAGGAUUAGAUACCCUAGUAGUC